rnacentral:lncRNA from 1 species
AAUGAUAUGGUUCUGUCAUGGAUAUUAAAUUCCAUCCAUCCAGACAUAGCAAGCAGCGUGAUUUAUGCCGAAACUGCAGCAGAAGUCUGGGCAGAUCUACAAGAGCGUUUCUCUCCGGGGAACGACUCGAGAAUUUUUCAGAUCAAACGAGAAAUCGUGGAACAUAGGCAGGGGCAGCAAUCUAUUUCUGUCUAUUACACAAAGUUGAAGGCUCUUUGGGAUGAACUUUCAUCUUAUCAUGAACCACUUUCCUUCUCAUGUGGCGGGUUGGAGAAACUCAACAAAAAGGAUGAGAAGGAGAGAGUUAUGCAAUUUCUCAUGGGGUUGAAUGAGAGUUAUGCCGCUAUUCGUGGACAAAUCUUAUUGAUGCAACCACUACCCGAUACCCGUCGAGUUUAUUCACUUGUCCUUCAACAAGAAAAGCAGGUUGAGGUUUCUCUCAACCGUGGGAACAUGAAUCAUCAUGCCAUGCUUGCGGACCAGAACAACAAGACGAUUCAAGCAAACCAGGUUCAAAAACAAAGGAUGCCGCUGCACUGUUCUUACUGUAAUAGAGAUCAUCACAGCAUUGAAAAGUGUUACUACCUACACGGAUUUCCUGUUGGUCACAAACUUCAUGGAAAAAACGUGAAACCCUCCAAUCAGUGCCACUCAAAUGCAAACAAUGUAAAGUUGGAAACAAAUAAGGCAUCCGACGAUGGCCCAAGGCUCACAACUGAGGAAUAUAAUCAACUGAUGGCCAUGAUUCGGAAAGAUAAUGAUGGUAACUCGCAGCAUUUUGCAAAUGUCACAGGUAUCAUCACACCGUUGUCUAAAAUCAUUCCAGUUACCUCAUACUCGAAUUUAUGUUGGAUUAUUGAUAGCGGAGCCACGGAUCAUGUGACUUCCUCAAUUGAAUUAUCAAACCCAAAAUGUUUGCCCAAAUCGGCCACAAUCAGUUUGCCGGAUGGUGGUCAAACACAUAUUGAGUCGGUUGGUUCACUACAUGUUACGCCUCAUAUGAGAUUGGAUGAAGUCCUCAGAGUCCCACAAUUUUGAGUUAAUUUAUUGUCAGUUAGUAAAUUAACACGAGCAUUAAAGUGUACAGUGACAUUCUUUCUCGAUUUUUGUGUUGUGCAGGACGCUUCUACGAGGAAGACGAUUGGCCUGGGCAAGCAACAUAAUGGCCUUUACUAUCUAGCACAAGACCAAAAUCCAAAGUUGGUUUACACCAUCCGCAAACAUUCCAAUCUUUGGCACCAGCGUCUUGGGCACCCAUCAUCUGGUCCUCUUCAAGUUCUUUGCAAGACAAAUCCUGCAAUUUAUUUCGAUUCCAAGCAUGUUUGUGAAAUUUGCCCUUUAGCCAAACAAACUCGUUUACCUUUUCCAUCUAGUUUAAUAUCUUCUCAAGCACCUUUUGAUUUGAUACAUUGUGACAUUUGGGGACCACAUCGAAUAACUUCCCAUUCUGGGGCUCGUUAUUUUUUGACAAUUGUUGAUGAUUUUACUCGAUAUACUUGGAUACAUCUCAUGAGUUUUAAAUCUGAAACACAAGGGAUAUUGCAAUCAUUUAUUUCUUGGGUGGAAACACAAUUUUCUAGUCGUGUUAAAACUCUCCGAUCCGAUAAUGGUAGUGAGUUUGAAUGCAUGAAGCAGUACUUAGGUACUAAGGGAAUUACUUUUCAUUCUUCAUGUACUUCAACUCCCCAACAAAACAGUGUAGUUGAGAGGAAGCAUCGCCACCUUUUAAAUGUGGGAAGGGCUCUUCGUUUUCAAGCAAACUUGCCAUUGAAAUUUUUGGGGGAAAGUGUUCAAACGGCUUGUUAUUUAAUCAAUCGUUUACCUACACCCCUCCUUUCUCAUAAAUCACCAUACCAACUUCUUCACAACAAGUCACCCACAUACAAUCAUCUCCGAACUUUUGGGUGCCUUUGUUAUGCCACUAAUCUCCUACCCACACAUAAAUUUGAUCAAAGAGCUCGUCGUUGCAUUUUUGUUGGUUAUCCUCUUGGUCAGAAAGGUUAUCGGGUCUAUGACCUUACAACACAUAAAUUCUCUUCUUCCCGAGAUGUUGUCUUUUAUGAACAUAUUUUUCCAUUUCAUAUCCAUCCUCAAGAACAAGAACCUGAUACGGUAGUUCUCCCUUUACCACACAUCUCCGACGAACCAAACUCUACAAAUCCAAGCAGCCCAUAAGCCGAUGACCUCUCACUAUCUCCACCAACCUUAUCUCCAUCACUUUUGCCUGCACCAAACAAUCUUAUACCUGACCACAAUCCUACUGAGCAACCACUACCUCCUACUUCCCGUCGUUCUGUCCGUCUUAAACAACCAAAUGUCAAACUUCAAAAUUUUCAUCUCUACCACACGGCCUUAGUUGCUCCCACCCAGUUUUCUUCCUCGUCAGGUACGCGUCACCCUUUACCUCGGUAUAUUUCCUAUGCACAACUAUCACCCCAAUAUCGGAAUUUUGUUUGUACUAUCACUACACUUGUGGAACCAGUAACUUAUGAACAGGCAG